GGGUUGUUAUCACAAUUGGUUAGUGAUCCUCGCUCAUAACGAGUAAUAUGGGAGUUCAAAUCUCUCACAACCCA
rnacentral:tRNA from 1 species